GUGGGGAAUAUUGGGCAAUGGGCGAAAGCCUGACCCAGCAACGCCGCGUGAAGGAAGAAGGUUUUCGGAUCGUAAACUUCUAUCCUUGGUGAAGAUAAUGACGGUAGCCAAGAAGGAAGCCCCGGCUAACUACGUGCCAGCAGCCGCGGUAAUACGUAGGGGGCAAGCGUUGUCCGGAAUGAUUGGGCGUAAAGGGCGCGUAGGCGGCCUUGUAAGUCUGAAGUGAAAGUCCUGCUUUUAAGGUGGGAAUUGCUUUGGAUACUGUCGGGCUUGAGUGCAGGAGAGGUAAGCGGAAUUCCCGGUGUAGCGGUGAAAUGCGUAGAGAUCGGGAGGAACACCAGUGGCGAGAGCGGCUUACUGGACUGUAACUGACGCUGAGGCGCGAAAGUGUGGGGAGCAAACAGGAUUAGAAACCCCGGUAGUCC
rnacentral:rRNA from 1 species